rnacentral:tRNA from 1 species
GGAGAAGUGCCAGAGAGGCUGAAUGGGACGGUCUCGAAAACCGUUAUCCGCUAUAUGCGGAUCGAGGGUUCGAAUCCCUCCUUCUCCG